CCCCACCCAGGCCCCACACGGCGCAUGUCCGCCCGCACCGCCUCGGACCUGCAGGCAGAGGGCUCCGCGUUUAACUGGUAAAUACGGUAACGGCCGAUGCAACCUUGAGAUCUCAGCUAUCCGUGAUAUCACCGGCCGAAAGGCUCCAAAGAAUCAGAAAGAGGCCACGUAAAAGCAAGGAAGACACGUUGCAUGAAGUAAUGCAGCAUUCAAGUAAUGAAAAUUGAAAAGUGCAGGAGUGGCGGGACAGUGAAAGGAGGGUCCGCCAGCAGAAUGCGGAUCGCCGGCACCAAAGCAUGGAGCGGCUGAUAAGCAUCAUGGAGCACCAAGCAGACUCUAUCCAGGCACUCAUAGCCAUGCAGAGCACUACCGCACUCACCCCCCACCCCGCAGCUCUUGUCCCAAAACUCUUUCCCUUGUGCCCCCAUGUCACCUCCAACCCACUUUCCCCAACAUCCAGGUUCUUACCGCCACCAACUGCCUCCAAAACCUGUAGCUUCACCACCCAGCCCUGAAAACUAUGACCCUUACCCAUUGCACUCAACCCCCAUCACCAUGCAGUAUAGCCAUCCUAAAGUGCAGCACUCAUUGCACAGCACUCCAGACAGGACAUACACAAAUCUGUGAUUGUACCGUUCCCCACCCCACCCCCUGGCCCUUUCUGUUUCCCAAGCAGUUGUGUUUCUUUUCAAUAAAUGAAUUUUCUUUUCAAUAAAUGAA